rnacentral:rRNA from 1 species
UAAUCCCUUGAUUUUAGCCUUUAUUCUAGGGAUAUUGCCAUUAAAUGUAGCUGGAGCCUCAACUAUAAAUAGAGGGCUGCUCCACCCUCAUUUGUACAUCAUCAAACACUUCUGUUUCAGUGAAUACAGAGCAUAUUUCUAGCAUUUUACCUUGUUAUCCUAUUUCUCUUUAACUUGCAUAAUCAGCCUUUCCCAUUGUUUUAGUGCCCGCACACUUGUGUUUUUGGUUGACUUAGGCAUAAAGAAGGAGAUUCCAAGCCUAAGGCUGUACGAAUUUUGAGUCUAAGGUCAAAGCCUAUGACAGUUGGUAUCAGAGCAAGUUUGGUUAUGCGUGUUUGUGAUGUGCAGGUUAGAUCGUGAUUGAGGAGAUGGCAUAUCAAAGCAACAUUGCUAGCCAACAACCAGACACCCAGGAGCAAAGGCAUGGAAGAGGCAGAAAAGCCAGUUCAAGAGAUAUAUGAUCUACCAUGGACGGUAGGCUGGCCAAGGUAGAGGUGAUUGGAAUGAGUACAAUCUAAAUCCCUUAACGAGGAUCCAUUGGAGGGUAAGUCUGGUGCCAAUAGCCGCAGUAAUUUCAGCUCCAAUAACGUAUAUUUAAGUUGUUGCAGUUAAAAAGCUCGUAGUUAGAACUAGCAUUGGGUCAUUCAGUCCAUCUCACGAUGAGCAUCGGUCUACUCAUCUCUGCUGCCGGUGAUGCGCUUCUAGACUUAAUUGCCCAGGUCAUUCCUUUGACGCUAUUACUUUGAAGAAAUUAGAGUGCUUAAAGCAGGCCUACGCUUGUAUACAUUAGCAUGGGAUAACAUCAUAGGAUUUUGAUCCUAUUGUGUUGGCCUUUGGGAUCGGAGUAAUGAUUAACAGGACCAGUCGAGGGCAUUCAUAUUUCAUAGUCAGAGGUGAAAUUCUUGGAUUUAUGAAAGAUGAACAACUGCGAAAGCAUUUGCCAAGGAUGUUUUCAUUAAUCAAGAAUGAAAGUUGAAGGCUCGAAGAUGAUCAGAUACCAUCCUAGUCUCAACCAUAAACAAUGUCGACCAGGGAUCGACAGAUGUUACUUUUAAGACUCCGUCAGCACCUUAUGAGAAAUCAAAGUCUUUAGGGUUUCGGGGUAGUAUGGUCGUAAGGCUAAAACUUAAAGGAAUUGAUGGAAGGGCACCACCAGGAAUGAAGCCUGCGGCUUAAUUUGACUCAACAUGGGGAAACUUACUAGGUCCAGAUAUAGUAAGGAUUGACAGACUGAGAGCUCUUUCUUGAUUCUAUGGGUGGUGGUGCAUGGCCAUUCUUAGUUGGUGGAGCGAUUUGUUUGGUUAAUUUCAUUAACGAACGAGACCUCAGCCUACUAACUAGCUACGUGGAGGUGAUCCUUCGUGGCUAGCUUCUUAGAGGGACUAUGACCACUUAGGCCAAGGAAGUUUGAGGCAAUAAUAGGUCUGUGAUGCCUUUAGAUGUUCUGGGUCGCACACGUGCUACGUUGAUAUAUUCAAGGGUGCCCCUGUGCCCUGAGCCCCUUCCGACCUUGGGCGGGUGCGACAGUCGCUUCGUGCCCCCUUCUAGGUGGGUGAAAUGAUCGGUGUCAUCUUGUUCGCUGUAUAACAAUGAACCCCCGACGAAAAUCAUGCCAGGGAACCAAAAUGAAAAUAGAACGCGUGUGCCAUCACUAUCCUGUUCACAGUGCAUGUGUGGGUGGCAUCGCGACUCCUUUUGUCAUGAAAAAAUGAAACGAAUCUCCGCAACGGAUAUCUAAGCUCUCACAUCGAUGAAGAACAUAGCAAAAUGUGAUACUUGGUGUGAAUUGCAAAAU